UACGGGGGGGGCAAGCGUUGUUCGGAAUUACUGGGCGUAAAGGGCUCGUAGGCGGCCAACUAAGUCAGACGUGAAAUCCCUCGGCUUAACCGGGGAACUGCGUCUGAUACUGGAUGGCUAGAGGUUGGGAGAGGGAUGCGGAAUUCGAGGUGUAGCGGUGAAAUGCGUAGAUAUCUGGAGGAACACCGGUGGCGAAGGCGGCAUCCUGGACCAAUUCUGACGCUGAGGAGCGAAAGCCAGGGGAGCAAACGGG
rnacentral:rRNA from 1 species